rnacentral:lncRNA from 1 species
GUUCAUCUUAAUGGUGUUUAUAGAAAUAAUUUCAGUUUACUUUUUACUGAUGUGUUUAGUUUGGAUGAAAUUCCGCGAUUUGGUAAGCUACUAGUAUUCUUAGACUAGAACUCUAUUAUUUGCAUCACAAUUCAUAAACCUAAGGUCUGUAUUUAUCGAAAAACGACCAACAGAGCUGCAAAUUAAGACUACAACUUCCGUUGUAAUUUGGACAUUAAAGCAUCAUAUUAACAUUAGAGAGACCAUAAAAUUUCGCCAUAUUUGUUCAUGAAAAAUAUAUAACAUGCAUUUGGUAAUAAUGUAGAUUUGCUUUGACUUUUUCAUUGCGGGGGUCAAAUGCUGUAAAUUAAAAGUACAUUCAAUAUCUACUCUUUCGGGUGAUCUUGAUCAAAAUUGAUCUCGCAUAUAUAUAUUAACUUGUAAUUAAAACAUUCUGGUUUUUAUUUUGACGAGUGGACAUCUUUAUGUUUUAAACUCUUUAAAGAAUAUUUUAAGUAGACUGGAUAAAACUCCAGUAGCAUACAAAAACUCAAGUCGAGUACAAUACCCAAAUUUAUAUGUAAAGUUAAUAAGUGUACAUUUUUUUCAAUUGAUCAAUGGGCUAACCAAAAUCUAAAUUCCCAAUGAAAACUAACGAAAAUAUCAGAGAUAUAUUGGCGAUUGCUACCCUGAAUAAAAAAAUUGACCUGGCCUAGUAUUUUUCAUUUAAAACAUGAAAUACCAAUAGCAGCAACUGUUAAUUGCAUUUAUAAAGAUGUAUAUUCUGUUUAAGAAGGUAACGCUAUCAAAUAUAUGAUUGCGAAUAUAAUUUAACUUUGAAAAUAUACAAAAUUUAUACUUUGCUUACUUAGCCUUUUACUGAAAGUUGUACUUAAAUUAGAACAGCUCCAAACCAUAGACAGUUUCGAUUGCUUCCAAUUCCUAAACAAUUGACAUGUGUUUUAACUCAUUUAAUAGCUCUCCAGCUUUGACGUUAAUACCUUGUUACAAGUGGCUGUAUUUCUGAUUACAUGGACGGGAUACUUUACCGCUGUUUCUAUGUUGUUCACUAUCAAGAAUGAAAUACUGCACAUACAGUUGCCCGAAGACUGGAUCCUGCCAAAUCUGUUUAUAGCAUUUGUAACAGCUAUAUGUAUAUAUUACAAGUAUCCUCUUCAUACGUAUACACCUUAUGUUUUAGUUUGUAAUUACACACAAAUAAUAAUCGGUCUUAUAUUAGCUACCUAUUCAGAG